rnacentral:rRNA from 1 species
GACGAACGCUGGCGGCGUGCUUAAAACAUGCAAGUCGAACGGACUUCUCAUGAAGCUUGCGAUUGAGAAGUUAGUGGCGGACGGGUGAGUAACGCGUGGGCAACCUGCCCCUGAGCCCGGGAUAACAGUUCGAAAGGACUGCUAAGACCGGAUAUACUUGCGGUGAAGCAUUUCACUGCAAGGAAAGGGAACGCUCAGGGGAUGGGCCCGCGUCCCAUUAGCUAGUUGGUGAGGUAACGGCCCACCAAGGCGACGAUGGGUAGCCGGCCUGAGAGGGUGAACGGCCACACUGGGACUGAGACACGGCCCAGACUCCUACGGGAGGCAGCAGUUGGGAAUCUUCGGCAAUGGGCGCAAGCCUGACCGAGCAACGCCGCGUGAGUGAUGAAGGUUUUCGGAUUGUAAAGCUCUGUCUUCCGGGACGAUAAUGACGGUACCGGAGGAGGAAGCCACGGCUAACUACGUG